rnacentral:tRNA from 1 species
GCGCCGUUAGUCUAAUGGUUAGGAUUUCUCCCUUCCAAGGAGAAGACGGGGUUCAAUUCCCCGACGCAGCA